AUUGAACGCUGGCGGCAGGCCUAACACAUGCAAGUCGAACGAGUGGCGGACGGGUGAGUAAUGUCUGGGAAACUGCCCGAUGGAGGGGGAUAACUACUGGAAACGGUAGCUAAUACCGCAUACCAUCGGAUGUGCCCAGAUGGGAUUAGCUUGUAGGUGAGGUAACGGCUCACCUAGGCGACGAUCCCUAGCUGGUCUGAGAGUAUGACCAGCCACGCGGGAACGUAGACACGGGCAAGACGCCUACGGGAGGCAGGAGUGGGGAAUAUUGCACAAUGGGCGGGAGCCUGAUGCAGCUAUGCCGCGUGGAUGAAGAAGGCCUUCGGGUGGUAAAGUACUGGCAGCGGGGAGGCGUUACCCGCUGAAUAAGCACCGGCUAACUCCGGGCCAGCAGCCGCUGUAAUUC
rnacentral:rRNA from 1 species